rnacentral:hammerhead_ribozyme from 1 species
GUACUGCUAAAGGGUCCCAAACUAGGACGAAACAGCUGUCCAGUAC